CAAAAACAUAGCUAUAUGUUAUUAUAUGUAGUAUUUUCUGCUCAAUGAGAUCUUAAAUAGCCGCAGUACCCUGACUGUGCAAAGGUAGCGUAAUCAGUUGGCUUCUAAUUAAAGUCUUGUAUCAACGAAUAUAUGGGGACCCACUUUACCAGCAAUUUAUAAUGAAUUUACUAAUUGAGUGCAAAUACUCAUAUAACUAAAUAGACGAGAAGACCCUAGAAAUUUUUUACAAGCGUUUUUGUUGGGGCAACAUAGUAACAGAGAACUUACUUUAUAGUCAAGGAAAUUAUUCGUAAGCCAAAAUUACUCUAGGGAUAACAGCAUAAUGUAUAAUCGUUUGUGACCUCGAUGUUGGAUUAGGAAAUCAUAGUUUAGAAGGUACUUGAUUUUGCUCUGUUCGAGCA
rnacentral:rRNA from 1 species